GACGAACGCUGGCGGCGCGCUUAACACAUGCAAGUCGAGCGAGAACCAGGGCUUCGGCCCCGGGGACAGCGGCGAACGGGUGAGUAACACGUGGGUAAUCUGCCCUCGGCACCGGAAUAGCCCGGGGAAACCCGGAUUAAUGCCGGAUGGCCCCUUCACCUCGCGAGGUGUCGGGAAAAGGUAGCUUCGGCCUCCGGCCGAGGAUGAGCCCGCGGCGGAUUAGCUUGUUGGCGGGGUAACGGCCCACCAAGGCGACGAUCCGUAGCUGGUCUGAGAGGACGAUCAGCCACACUGGGACUGAGACACGGCCCAGACUCCUACGGGAGGCAGCAGUGGGGAAUCUUGCGCAAUGGGCGAAAGCCUGACGCAGCGACGCCGCGUGAGGGAAGAAGGCCUUCGGGUUGUAAACCUCUUUCAGGAGGGACGAAGCCACUCGGGUGAACAGCCCAGAGGGUGACGGUACCUCCAGAAGAAGCCCCGGCUAACUACGUGCCAGCAGCCGCGGUAAUACGUAGGGGGCAAGCGUUGUCCGGAUUUACUGGGCGUAAAGCGCGUGUAGGCGGCCGCACAGGUCCGUUGUGAAAACUGGAGGCUUAACCUUCAGACGUCGACGGAAACCGUGUGGCUAGAGUCCGGAAGAGGAGAGUGGAAUUCCUGGUGUAGCGGUGAAAUGCGCAGAUAUCAGGAAGAACACCAAUGGCGAAGGCAGCUCUCUGGGACGGUACUGACGCUGAGACGCGAAAGCGUGGGGAGCGAACAGGAUUAGAUACCCUGGUAGUCCACGCCGUAAACGAUGGGUGCUAGGUGUGGGAGGUGUCGACUCCUUCCGUGCCGCAGCUAACGCAUUAAGCACCCCGCCUGGGGAGUACGGCCGCAAGGCUA
rnacentral:rRNA from 1 species